rnacentral:rRNA from 1 species
UGGGGAAUAUUGGACAAUGGGGGCAACCCUGAUCCAGGCAUGCCGCGUGUGUGAAGAAGGCCUUCGGGUUGUAAAGCACUUUAGGUAAGGAAGAAAAGUUAUUGGUUAAUACCCAAUAACCAUGACAUUACUUACAGAAUAAGGACCGGCUAACUCCGUGCCAGCAGCCGCGGUAAUACGGAGGGUCCAAGCGUUAAUCGGAAUUACUGGGCGUAAAGCGCGCGUAGGCGGUUUGACAAGUUGGGUGUGAAAUCCCCGGGCUUAACCUGGGAACUGCAUUCAAAACUUUUAAACUGGAGUACGGGAGAGGAGAGUAGAAUUCAUGGUGUAGCGGUGAAAUGCGUAGAUAU